GACGAACGCUGGCGGCGUGCUUAACACAUGCAAGUCGAACGGAAAGGCCCUGCUUUUGUGGGGUGCUCGAGUGGCGAACGGGUGAGUAACACGUGAGUAACCUGCCCUUGACUUUGGGAUAACUUCAGGAAACUGGGGCUAAUACUGGAUAGGAGCUCCUGCUGCAUGGUGGGGGUUGGAAAGUUUCGGCGGUUGGGGAUGGACUCGAGGCUUAUCAGCUUGUUGGUGGGGUAGUGGCUUACCACGGCUUUGACGGGUAGCCGGCCUGAGAGGGUGACCGGCCACAUUGGGACUGAGAUACGGCCCAGACUCCGACGGGAGUCAGCAGCGGGGAAUAUUGCACAAUGGGCGGAAGCCUGAUGCAGCAACGCCGCGUGCGGGAUGACGGCCUUCGGGUUGUAAACCGCUUUCGCCUGUGACGAAGCGUGAGUGACGGUAAUGGGUAAAGAAGCACCGGCUAACUACGUG
rnacentral:rRNA from 1 species